UUAUUUCAAUUCUUUGCUCUCUAGAAUUGUUGUCGUUGUCGCACAGUGGUGCAAUGUAUCGUCAUCAACAAUCCAAUCGAUAAAUCGAAUUGGAAUCAAACUGGCAUUCGAGCUAGUACAUGUAAUAUUUUUCUUAUGUUUUCAUAUAUAUAUAUUUGUAAAUUUACAACAUUUCAAUAAAAGUGUAUAAUAUUUAUGACAAAAGACUAAGAGCUAAGCCACGGCUCUAAAGAAAUUCACUUUUCUGACCAAUGGCAUUUGCAUUUGGACCACUGUGCGUUGUCGCAGUCCACGACGCGUAACUGCCGCGAUUUAUACAAACAUACGGUUUUGCUUAAGCAGCGGCCAACAGUUGCUCGUCACAUGUUCGACACUCAAGUAGAGACCACCUCAAGUAACGGGAAUUGUGCAGAAAAUUGGACCAACGAUCAGUUCUGUGACCAACACACACACACACAAUCAACCGACAACAAUAGUUCCUUCACGCAUUGUGCAAUUGAAAGUGGAGAUUGAGAUUUAUUGAAAGUCGAAAACCGAUUCGAACCGAACCGAACCGUACCGAAAGCCGCAAGUUGUGUGAGUGUCCGAAUAUAUGUAUUUUAAUCGAGCUGUUAACAUUUCAAACCCACUUAGUUGCCAACGCGCUAUUGCCGCCUACAACAUUCUCGAAGCUUUCCGAGCAACGUGCUUUGACCACACGCGGUUCUGUGUUGUGUUUCUUGUCUGUGUGUGCGUGCGUGUGUGUCGAGUGUGUUAAAAAGGAAAAGCCGAAAAAGCAAAAGCGAUUAUCGAAAAGAAUAUAAGCAAUUAGGGUUUUAUUUGUCAGUCUCUAGUGUAGUGUAAGAAAAAGCAGAUGCAGUCGUCUCGUCGGUUGUUUGCACGUUAACGUAAUAUUCAAACAAUACAAAUUUAACCACCAAACAUCUUUUGCGCUUUGUUGCGGUGCCACAAGAUCGAACGCCCAACCCCCGCACCGCACCGCACCGUUCCGUUUCGCCCAACGUCAAACGUUAAUUGCACUCUUCGAAUUGCAUUUUUACUUCCGCUCUCUCGCCUCCACUCUCUCACUGUGUCUCCAUCUCUCUCCCUCUCUCCCGCUGAUUCUUCUUGCUGCUGAUUUAUUUUAAUACAGUGGCUGUGCUCUAUUCGAAUUCAACAAAUAGAUUGUUUGUGUGUGAGCGUGCGUAUGUGUGUGCUCUAUAUACCCACAUAUGUACAUUCAAAUAUACAACUAUUCACAUUAGUGUUACAUAUACACGUGAGCCAAGCGAACAGAGACUUUGUAAUCGUGUAACCGUAACCAAUAACGUCAGAGUAACUGUAACGGUCAAUAACGCCGCAAACGCGUUUCGCGACUCUUCCCUCUUACACCCAGCCUGCUCUCGCACGUAUUUACAAGAAGAAGAAUAAGAAGAAGCAAUCAGCUCGUUACGUACUUUUGCUAGCGCCAUCUGGCUUCCGAUUAUACCCGCGCGAAUUUCAACUCUUCUCGUCCUUGUUGUGGCCGUGGCGCAAGUGCCCUCUCUCGCUCGCACCGUCGCUGCCGUCUACGUGUUUCAAAGAAAGCAAGUCAAAGCAAAUAGCAAAUACCAAAGACGUUCAAUCGCGUUCUGCAUCUUGUGAAUUCGGAAUAUAACUGUUAAAGCACGACUAGCCGCCCCAGUUUACCAGCAAGGAAUAGGGCAAACGUUUCGAACAGAGGACGCAGUGAAAAAAAAGUGUAUGCACAAAAUAAAACAUCAGGCAACAACAAUAACAAAAACAACAACAGCAACAGCAACAAACGACCACGAAAACAACAACAUCAAGACGCAAUUUAAUGAAUUUUGUGAUUAUAAAUAUUUCAGAGGUACAACAAAAGCUCAUUUAAUAAAAAAUCGCGGCGUCGAGCACCACGCCAAACGGCAAAACCCACAAAAAUCAAAUUAAAACAAAAACAAAACGACAAAAAAAAAACAAACGAAAUAAUUUAAAAAAGAAAGAAAAACAAACGCACAACAAAAGCAACAACAACAACAGCAACAA